rnacentral:lncRNA from 1 species
AGGGCGUCCAUGCAGUCCAUGUGGAAGCCAGCCUCAGCAGGAGAGCCGCGCAUUGCCAAAGGCAGGGAGAAUAACAAACCAGGUGCCAUCCAGAGUCUACAGGAAAGCUUCAGUCUUUCCAAGGAAAAUUAAAAAACGAAUAACCAGAUUACACAUUCUGAGUUUUGCUCCCUGUGGACUUCUGUUGAAUCCUGGAUGAGGAAAGAAGAAAUGGGUUUCCACGGACCUAUCAAUGAUACUCAUCACAGUUUCACCGUGGGAAGGAUUCCUUAGCACUGUGCGGAGAAGCAGCGUGAGUUCACCCUGAGUCUUUGAUUAUGUUUAAUAGCUUCACUGUCAGACGGUGAGUCAUGAUCUUUCACUUCUGCUUAACAGUUUGUAU